UCCCACAGGUGAUUCAGAUACGCCCUCCCUGUGAAUGAAAUCUGCUAGACCUGCUCUGUCCAAUACGGUAGCCAUUAGCUAGGUGUGGUUCUUCAAAUUCAAGUUCAGUCAAGUAAAACAUUCAGCUCUUCAGUCUCACUAAUUACAUUUCAUUUAAUUAAUCCACUAAUUACAUUGCAGCUAGUGGCCACUGUAUGGACAGUGCAGCUACAGAACAUUCCUGCCAUCACAGAAAGCACUAUUGGGCAGUGCUGCUUUAGAACCUGGCUUCCCAGACGGUCAGCAGCACCCAGAGAGAGCAUCAGAAUGCACACUCUCAGGCCCCGCCCAGACCUACUGGAUCAGAAGCUGUAUCUUAUCAGGAUACCCAAGUGACAUGUGGGCGCAUGAAUGUCUGAAAAGCACGGCACUAGCCAGUUCUCAACCUUGGCCGUAUGUUAGAAGCACCCCGGGAGCUUUUUAAGAAGAUUGAGGCUUGGACUUCCCUGGCGGUCCAGUGGUUAAGACUUCACACUUCCACUGCCGGGUGCACAGGUUCGAUCCCUGGUCAGGGAACUAAGAUCCUGCGUGCUGUGCGGCGCAGCUAAAAAAAAAAAAAAAGCCUGAGGCUGAAGCCACACCUCAGACCAAGUAAGUCAGAACGCUUGGGGAGGGACCCAGGCAACAGUCUUUAAGGUUUUCCAGGUGAUUUCAAUGGGCGGCCAAGGUUGAGACCCACUGCAUGGUCUACAACCUCUGGGGGUCCAAAAGCUUCUGCCCUGCAGUGGACACCUGUGGGAUUGUUAGACUGACGCCACUAUUUGAGGAAGUGUCUUUUCUGAAUGGUUGCAGUAAGAGCCGUCACAUUCCUAUAAUGUCACCCCCACCACACACACACACACUUAACCGUGAGUUGAUUGAAUGCCUCAGGUACGCUGGACCAAUGAGUUCUUUCCCUUGGAAUUUUGGAACUGAGACUGAAUGUCUCUGGGUGACUGAAUCUGUUAGAUGUGAGGGUUGGGAACUCUCAGUGCUCCCUCUCCCAUCACGCGGACCAGAGAGAGGAGCACUGGAGAGAAAGAAAGAGAUUUCUGAUGCUGUUUGAGUCUCUGGUUCCAUUUCCCUCCAGAUGCCCAGCUAUAGUCUUGUCCUUGGCUCAUGCGUCCUUAUAAUACAUUUCCCUUUGUGCUUAAUAGUUUGGGUUGGGUUUCUGUGACCUGCAACCUGCAAAUGCUUAUUUAAUAUAAUCCUAGGCCUGUUAACUAUGUUCCAGAACAGAAUUUAUUUUUUUUUAAAUUUUGGUCUCAUGGCUUGCAGGAUCUUAGUUCCCCGACCAGGGAUUGAACCCGGGCCCACGGUAGUGAAAGAGUCCUAACCACUGGAUCGCCAAGGAACUCCUGGAACAGAAUUUCCAACUAGAUCCCACAGAACUCACGUUCCUCCAGCAACGACAGCUCCACACCUUCCCCUUCCACAUUGUUGAGGACCUCAAUGAACCUGGCUCCUGAGCAAAAUGUGGAGGACACCAACCUCAGGCUAGAAGAGCAGCAGCAGCAGGCGCCAGGGGAGACAACCCUUCAGGAAGACGGUGCUGUCUUCCUGCCAUGCUUACGCCACCCAUCCUGGCUGAAGCCUAAAGACUCCUUCUUAAGCAACGUUACUGCAACCAGAGUUCUGGGUUUCAUGCUUCAAGUGGCCUUCAUCCACAACCCACAACCCACAUCUCACCACUGCCUACUGAGCAAGGUGUGUUUGGACCUUGCCACGCCCACCUGGGAUCAAGAGGCAGCAACCAGGAAUGGCAGGGAUGUGAUCAGUGCGGGAGGUUCCUGAUUCGUGCUCCAGACCCCACAUCAGCACAGCUGAGGGCUCCAAGCAGAACGUUGGUGAAAAGUUGCUUUACACUUCAGAAUUUCAGCUUCUGCAGAUGAAGGAACGUGCAGUCAACCCUCAGCUUCUCCCAACCAGAUGGAAUUAAACCGCACUCCCUCUUCGUGUUCUCUGUAAAGUGCAGCCUCAGGUGUGAGAAGCGGGCAGCAGACGGGCACAUUUUAUAGUUGGACACUGAGGCUUAGAAGGGUUGAGUAGCCUGUCUGGGGUGACUAACGAUCCUAUUUUGCCCAGGCCUGUCCUGGUUUUAGCAUUGAAAGUUCCAUGUCCCAAAAUACCCUUAAUUUUGGGCAAACUGAGAAAGCUGGUUAGUGUCUUCCAAAGUCACACAACUAGCAAGUGCUGGAGCUGAAUCUGAACCCAGAUCUCACCAUCUCCCAUGUCCUCCUCCUGCUGAAUGAGUGAAUUCCUGAGCAGGUCAAUCACGUGAAAUAUAUUCAGAGCAACAAGAGAUCCAGGUGUUUCCUGAUGCUCUUCCUUUCCCUUUUGCCCUCUCUGCAGGGGUGCCCAGACCAGCUGAGAGUUCCAUCCCUUACCCAGGGCCAUCCUGAUGCCUACAGGGAAUAAGGACAGGGCCGCUGAGCUCAGGAGAGCUUUAUCACUGUCAGGGCCUGCCCGGUCUCACCUACCUGGCUCCCCAAGAUCUCAAGAGUCAGAGAUUCCAACCUUGAGAGCUGUGAAAAAUGAUGAGAAUGAAUUAGAGAGGUCCCAAGUGCCACCUCUUUGGGGAAAUCUGGGGAGAUGGAAAGAACCUGGGCUUUGGAACCAGUCAGCCCUGGAUUUAAUCUGAGCUUCCCAUCUUUUUUUUCUUUUUUUUAUACUUAAAAAAAUUUUAAUUUUAUUUUGGAGUAUAGUUGAUUAACAAUGUUGUGUUAGUUUCAGGUGUACAGCAAAGUGAUUCAGUUAUACAUAUACAUGUAUCUUUUUUAUACAUAUAUCAUGUAUUCUUUUUCAAAUUCUCUUCCCAUUUAGGUUGUUACAGAAUACAGAGCAGAGGGACUUCCCUGGUGGUCCAGUGGUUAAGACUCCACACUUCCAAUGCAGGGGGUGCAGGUUCGGGGAACUAAGAUCCCACAUGCCAUGCGGCAUGGCCAAAAAAAGUAAAAAAAGAAUAUUGAGCAGAGUACUCUGUGCUGAGCUUCCCAUCUUAAUAGCUCCAAGGGACUUGGCAGUCUUCUUAAUUUGUGCCUGAAUUUCUAUUUUUCCCAAAUUCCCAACUUGAAGGGCUGUUGAGAUAAUAUUAAAUACUUUAUAUAAAGAACCUCAUUUAGCACUUCAGUCCUUGUUUACCUUGACCUAGCAUUGCUUCUCAUCUCAUCUUUCAAGACCAUAAAGAUCUGCCCCUCCACACUAGGGACCGCCUUAGACCUUCUUACCAUUCAGGAUUGCUCUACAUUGACCAUCAAAUUCCCCAAGCACUGAGCCUCCCCUUCCUCUUGCUCCACCUGAUGGUCCAUCUUAUUGACACUUCUUUCUCCUGGAGCCCACAUCCUGGAGGUCAUCACUGACUACCCGCCCUCUUUGACCUCACCCCACUUCCUCUAUAACCUUGACUUCAUUGUGAAUCACUUCAACCCCACUCCUUACAGCCUUCCUCAUAAACCUUCUGCCUUGAGCCAAUACAACCAACUGCUCUUUGUCCUAUUGGAGAAAAUCACACAACCCACGAUAGUCAGUGCCUCUAGUCGCCCUGUAACAUGGAUCUGGACAACUCUCGUUCCCCUCCCGACAGUUGCUCUUCCAAACAUUUCACAGCUUCCCUAAAGAGACCUGCGCAAUGCCACCAAUUCUCCAUCAGCUGAUAAUCUCUUCCUCUCUCCCCACGAAGAAAGCUGGGGUUUUCGGCAGGAGCCCCAGCUCUCUUCCUUGCUGAUUCUCUGCCCUCCAGAAUGGGGUUGGCCCCCUUACCCCUUAUCCCCACCCUAGCAAGGAGAGAUUAGUAAUCAUAAAUAUCAAGGUCUGCUCUUGGCUUCAUUCAUGGCUUGCCUGGGGAUUCUCACUGGCUUCCUCCGGUUCUUGCAGCCCUAUCUGCUCUGAUACUUUCCUCCUGUAGUGAAGGAAGGUGUUUCCCACUUUGUACCCUCCACUGACCGUCCUACCCUGUUAAAAUGUCUCUAUUCCUCCUAUGCCCCUGCUCCCAGCCAUAAAUGAUUGUGUCUUCUAUGUACCUCACAAUUUACUGAACACAUUUUUCUAUCUCAUUUAAUCCUCUAAAAUAACCCUUUGAAGUGGAUCUUUUUAAAAAAUCUUUAUUUAUUUAUUUAUAUUGAAGUACUGUUGAUUUAUAAUGUUUCAGGUGUACAACAAAGUAAUUCUUUUCCAUUAUAGGUUAUUACAAGAUAUUGAAUAUCGUUCCCUGCGCUAUAUAGUAGAUUCUUGCUGUUUAUCUAUUUUACCUAUGAUAGUGUGUAUCUCUUAAUCUCAAAUUCCUGUUAUCCUUCCCCCACUUUUCCCUUUGGUAACCAUAAGUUUGUUUUCUAUGUCUGUGAGUCUAUUUCUGUUUUGUAAAUAAGUUCAUUUGUAUCUUUUUUUUUAUGAAGAGAAUCUUAUUGUUCCUUUAUCAAUGAUGGUUCAGAGACUUUAAGUAAUUUGCCCAAGACAAGUGAUAGCGCUGGAUGGACCUCAGCCUGCUUCUCUCUUUUCACUCUGCAAUCCUGGCAUCAGUGACCACAGUUCCCUGGCCACAGGUGGAUUCUUAACCACUGCGCCACCAGAGAAGUCCAAAGCAUUCCAUAUUUUUAUGACCAACUCUCUACAAAUUCUUAUCUGUGGAGAAGACAAUGCUUAGAUCUGCAUCACAAUCACCCUUGUUUACUGUGUGUUUUCCUGCUCACCUCCCAGAAUGGACUCUCCCCACCCUCAACAUCCUCUUCUGUCUUUAGCUGAGGGUGGCAUUUAAGAUGAGGGCUUCGCCCAUUUUGGCGAGUUACUCAAUUUUUCUGGGACUCUCCCAUGUACACAUGUUAUUUGAUUUUCUCCUGUUUAAAAAUAAAUAAAUAAAUAAAUAACUUGCCCCAGGCACACGUGUGCCCUCUGUGUAGUGGUGGCUGGAUUCCAACACAGUCUGUGCUUUUCACCAGCACAUCACACUAUCUCUGUCUUAAUGCAUUUGCAGAACACAUCAUGCAUGAGAGCAGAUGACUGUUUGAACUUCACGUGAUGUGUAAAGGAAACCAAAUCUGCUCCUAUUUUUAUUUUUAUUUUUAUUUUAUUUUAUUUUUUUUGCUCCUAUUUUUAGAUGAAUUCCUCCUGACACAAAGCAAGAAUGACUGCUUCCUGGUAGAGCGACUCCCACUUUGAUAGUUUAUCCAGCAUAUAUGAGCACUGGAUAUAGCUGAUCCUAUCACUCAGAUGGAAAAGGAUUUCAUCCCUUUGAAUAUUAUAUUGUCAUAUGUUCUGGAGAGUGAUUAUUUUUGUGAGGAGGAGGAAAACAAAUUAAAGGAAACGAAGGAAAAAUAAACUAAACAAAGGAAAAAAAUAAAAAGUUGCAGUUGAUAAUUCAGUAAGAGGUGUGGAGACUGAAAGCAAAAACAGAGCUUAAAAAAAGUUACCGUGUAAUUAUAUCUCAAUAAAAGGAAAUAAAAACCAGAUUCCCAAGUGACUUUAACUUUAGUUGUUCAAGCCAACUUACACAAAAGUCUUUUUCAAGUCUUAUGAUGCGUUUGACAAGAUCUCCAGGAUCUAAACUCAAGCUAAACCAUAAGAUAAAGCUAACUGCAGAUGAAAAAGAUAUGGCUGCCUACACCACCUUUAUCUGAAAGAGACCAAAAAGGAAAGCCGUGUUUUGUGAAAUUCUCAAGGGAGAAGAGAAUAAACAUUUACCCAGUACUUACCACAUGCCAGGCCUGUCAACAGAAAUUGGUUGAUCUCCUUAUCUCCAAUAUACAGAUGAAGAAGCUGAGGCUCAGUAGGUCAUGAAGAGAGUAAGGACUGGACCCAAGCUUUAACCCAUGUCUCUUUAUAAUACAACAUUCUGUCCACAAAUUCUUGGUACAUCGCUAUAGGUUUCUGACUUCAAAAAUGAUUAAUAUAUAAUCAUUUUGUAAUAUAUACACAUAUCAAAUCAUGAUGCUAUAUACUUGAAACUAAUAUAAUGUUAUAUGUCAAUUAUAUCUCAAUUUAAAGUAAUUAUUAACAGUGUACACUUAUCUACCCAAAUCUGGGUCUCCAGAGCCACUCUAGUUACUGCCCUAGAUGUGUCCCAAUCCACUUCUAGCCUGACAGUUUUGAACAAAUAGCAUUGGUAUAUGAAGAAAUUGUACUUGAACCUUACCCUUUGAGUUAAAAAACUGCAAUUUGUAAUAGGAAAUAACAUUUCAUAUCGCGACCCACUACACACAGAUAGGGUGUUUAAGUGCACUACUUCAAGAAACAAUAUUGGGACUUCUCUGGCAGUCCAAUGGUUAGGACUCGGGGCUUCCACUGCCAGGGCCCCAGAUUCGAUGCCUGGUCAGAGAACUAAGGCUCCGCAAGCCGCAGGGACAAAAAAAAAACACCCAAAAAACAAACAAACAAAAAACCCCAAUACUGGGGCUUCCCUGGUGGCGCAGUGGUUGAGAGUCCGCCUGCCGAUGCCAGAGACACGGGUUCGUGCCCCGGUCCGGGAAGAUCCCACAUGCCGCGGAGCGGCUGGGCCCGUGAGCCAUGGCCGCUGGGCCUGCGCGUCCGGAGCCUGUGCUCUGCAACGGGAGAGGCCACAACAAUGAGAGCCCCACAUAUCGCAAAAAAAAAACAAACAAAAAACAAUAUUUAACUUUGUUACAUGCACUGCUCUCCUAUUUUCUUUUCUAUUCCACUUUUAAAAUAUGCUGAUCUUGAGCUGUUAAACUGAUUUCAUGGCACACCAAUGGGUUAAGAUCUACCGUUUGAAAAACACUGUCCUUUAGGGUUUUGGUUGAUAUUGAGAUAUUUUUUUCUUGUUUUGUAAAUGCAGAAAUAUAGGCUCUAAAGAAUGAGGUGACUUCCUUAAAUUCACACAGCUAAGAAAUAUUGGAUGGAGGACCUCAACACAGAAUUCUGUGUUUAUGCCCAGUAUUCUUCUGAAUACAGAAUUUCUUCAGGGGAAGUGUAAAUGAGAAAUUGAAGAAAACCCAUAUGCAACCCUGUGAGAAGAGAGACAUAGCUGUGUGAAGAGUCAAAAGAGGAACAUUUCAUAGGAGUCUCGCUGCAGCUGACGCAUUUGACAGUCAUUUCUAGGGGACGCCUGCUCUGGGCCAGGUGGAAGAAGUUAACUGUACACUGUCUACAAGCACGUAGACCCCAGACCAGUUGGAACCAGAAGGUUGAUGAUGCUGACUCCCGAUUACCUCACCACCAACCAAUCAGAAGAAUGUCCACGAGCUGACCACACCCUGCUCCUUGAACACUAUAAGACUCCUCACUACCCGCUCCGGGGUGGGGCACACAGUCUUGAGGAUGUUAGCCCACUGUGGCCCCCUUUGUCUGGCAAAGCAAUAAAAGCUACUCUUUUCUACCUCAC